GGCGUCGACCGGCGCACGGGUGAGUAACGCGUAUCCAACCUGCCCAUCACUUGGGGAUAACCUUGCGAAAGUAAGACUAAUACCCAAUGACGUCUCUAGAAGACAUCUGAAAGAGAUUAAAGAUUUAUCGGUGAUGGAUGGGGAUGCGUCUGAUUAGCUUGUUGGCGGGGUAACGGCCCACCAAGGCGACGAUCAGUAGGGGUUCUGAGAGGAAGGUCCCCCACAUUGGAACUGAGACACGGUCCAAACUCCUACGGGAGGCAGCAGUGAGGAAUAUUGGUCAAUGGACGAGAGUCUGAACCAGCCAAGUAGCGUGCAGGAUGACGGCCCUAUGGGUUGUAAACUGCUUUUAUAAGGGAAUAAAGUGAGUCUCGUGAGAUUUUUUGCAUGUACCUUAUGAAUAAGGACCGGCUAAUUCCGUGCCAGCAGCCGCGGUAAUACGGAAGGUCCGGGCGUUAUCCGGAUUUAUUGGGUUUAAAGGGAGCGUAGGCCGGAGAUUAAGCGUGUUGUGAAAUGUAGACGCUCAACGUCUGCACUGCAGCGCGAACUGGUUUCCUUGAGUACGCACAAAGUGGGCGGAAUUCGUGGUGUAGCGGUGAAAUGCUUAGAUAUCACGAAGAACUCCGAUU
rnacentral:rRNA from 1 species